GAGUUUGAUCAUGGCUCAGAUUGAACGCUGGCGGCAUGCCUAACACAUGCAAGUCGAACGGCAGCACAGUCGUAGCAAUACGAUGGGUGGCGAGUGGCGGACGGGUGAGUAAUGCAUCGGGACCUACCUGAACGUGGGGGAUAACGUAGGGAAACUUACGCUAAUACCGCAUACGUCCUACGGGAGAAAGCGGGGGACCUUCGGGCCUCGCGCGGUCAGACGGACCGAUGUUCGAUUAGCUAGUUGGUAAGGUAAUGGCUUACCAAGGCGACGAUCGAUAGCUGGUCUGAGAGGAUGAUCAGCCACACUGGAACUGAGACACGGUCCAGACUCCUACGGGAGGCAGCAGUGGGGAAUAUUGGACAAUGGGCGCAAGCCUGAUCCAGCAAUGCCGCGUGUGUGAAGAAGGCCUUCGGUUGUAAG
rnacentral:rRNA from 1 species